rnacentral:rRNA from 1 species
GACGUAGGGGGCAAGCGUUGUUCGGAAUUAUUGGGCGUAAAGAGCUCGUAGGCGGUCUGUCGCGUCGGUCGUGAAAACUUGGGGCUUAACCCUGAGCUUGCGGUCGAUACGGGCAUGACUGGAGUUCGGCAGGGGAGACUGGAAUUCCUGGUGUAGCGGUGAAAUGCGCAGAUAUCAGGAGGAACACCGGUGGCGAAGGCGGGUCUCUGGGCCGAUACUGACGCUGAGGAGCGAAAGCGGGGGGAGCGAACAGG